GACGAACGCUGGCGGCGUGCUUAACACAUGCAAGUCGAACGGAGAUUUUUAUUUCGGUAAAGAUCUUAGUGGCAAACGGGUGAGUAACGCGUAGGCAACCUGCCUUUCCGAUGGGGACAACAGUUCGAAAGGACUGCUAAUACCGAAUGAUGUAUAUCUUCCGCAUGGGGGACAUACCAAAGACGGCCUCUAUAUAUAAGCUGUCACGGAAAGAUGGGCCUGCGUCUGAUUAGCCAGUUGGCGGGGUAAUGGCCCACCAAAGCGACGAUCAGUAGCCGGUCUGAGAGGAUGAACGGCCACAUUGGGACUGAGACACGGCCCAAAUUCCUACGGGAGGCAGCAGUGGGGAAUCUUCCGUAAUGGACGAAAGUCUGACGGAGCAACGCCGCGUGAGUGAAGAAGGUUUUCGAAUCGUAAAGCUCUGUUGUCAGGGACGAGCAGGGGGAGUAUCAACAACACUUCCUCAUGACGGUACCUGACGAGGAAGCCACGGCUAACUACGUGCCAGCCGCCGCAGUAA
rnacentral:rRNA from 1 species